UCCGCGGGUGUUACCGGUGCGGUGUGACGUUUUUAGUGCGGUUUCGUUGCGGUGGGAAAAUGAAAAAUUGUGCGCAUGUGUUGGUGCGAUUGAUGUUUCCUUGAGGUGUGCUAAAUUUAGUACUUAGGUGGGCGCGGCGCGUCCUUGGGAAGGUCACGGGAGUAGCGGCCGAUAAGAAAUCAUCAUUACCGUCAAAAGGCAGGGGAUUCUGAAAUCCAUUGUCAUCAUUACUCUCGCGACAUUGACUGCUCAGCACGCAUCGCCAAUAAAAACACGUCGGGGCCUCCUGCCGACAUGUUUAUUCUGCCAGCGCUCCCUGCACCCCUUGCCAAGGUUGCGGCGUGUGAGUCGCCCGGGGUAGUGUGACCCUCGCGUUACUCGCAGGAAAUCGCCUAAGACGGACCAGUGUUAGGUGACAUCAACAGCGGACGGACGCUACUGCAAGAGAUCGACACCGGAAACAAACAAUACGCGUCGCAUGUCUACAGGCAGUGGGCGGCCGGAAGUGACGUGCGCGCCCAGGUCCCGCAGACCACUUCCGGCGCUUUGACAAACAGCCUCCAAGGUCGGUGAUGGAGGGUUAAAAGGCCCACGACAAUGGACCCUCUGCGUUAAGAUUUUGAGAACCUGUGCUAUUUUUGUGACUUCGAUGUUAAA